GAUGAACGCUAGCGGCAGGCUUAAUACAUGCAAGUCAAGGGGGUAGCAAUACAACCGGCGCACGGGUGAGUAACGCGUACACAACAUACCAUAUACUGGGGUAUAGCUUUGGGAAACUGAAGGUAAUCCCCCAUAACAUUGCGAGAGGGCAUCUGAUUGCAAUUAAAGUUUCGGCGGUAUAUGAUUGGUGUGCGUUUGAUUAGCUAGUUGGUAGGGUAACGGCCUACCAAGGCGACGGUCAAUAGCUGGCGUGAGAGCGCGACCAGCCACACUGGAACUGAGACACGGUCCAGACUCCUACGGGAGGCAGCAGUAGGGAAUAUUGGACAAUGGAGGAAACUCUGAUCCAGCCAUGCCGCGUGAUAGAUGAAGGCCCUCUGGGUUGUAAAUAUCUUUUAUCUUGGGAAGAAACAAUCUUAUUCUUAAGAUCUUGACGGUACCAGAGGAAUAAGCACCGGCUAAACUCCGUGCCAGCAGCCGCGGUAAU
rnacentral:rRNA from 1 species